rnacentral:rRNA from 1 species
AGAAUCAACGCUGGCGGCGUGCCUAACACAUGCAAGUCGCACGAGAAAGGGGAGCAAUCCCUGAGUAAAGUGGCGCACGGGUGAGUAACACGUGAAUGAUCUACCUCCGAGUGGGGAAUAACUGAGAGAAAUCUUAGCUAAUACCGCAUAACACUUACGAGUCAAAGCAGCAAUGCGCUUGGAGAGGAGUUCGCGGCCGAUUAGCUAGUUGGCGGGGUAAUGGCCCACCAAGGCGAUGAUCGGUAUCCGGCCUGAGAGGGCGCACGGACACACUGGAACUGAAACACGGUCCAGACUCCUACGGGAGGCAGCAGUGGGGAAUUUUGCGCAAUGGGGGAAACCCUGACGCAGCAACGCCGCGUGGAGGAUGAAGCCCCUCGGGGUGUAAACUCCUUUCGAUCGGGAAGAUAAUGACGGUACCGAUAUAAGAGCCCCGGCUAACUUCGCGCCAGCAGCCGC